rnacentral:rRNA from 1 species
UACGUAGGGGGCUAGCGUUGUCCGGAAUCAUUGGGCGUAAAGCGCGUGUAGGCGGUCCGGUAAGUCCGCUGUGAAAGUCGAGGGCUCAACCCUCGAAUGCCGGUGGAUACUGUCGGGCUAGAGUGCGGAAGAGGCGAGUGGAAUUCCGGUGUAGCGGUGAAAUGCGCAGAUAUCAGGAGGAACACCUAUUGCGAAGGCAGCUCGCUGGGACGUUACUGACGCUGAGACGCGAAAGCGUGGGGAGCAAACAGG